GUCCUUGUUGUGCAAUGGAUAGCACGUUGGACCUCUAAUCUAAAGGUUGUAGGUACGAAUCCUACCUGGGAUU